CUCAUACAAAAAAAUCCAUAAAGCUUGAAGCAUUACUCCUAACAUGACGUUGAUUAAGCUUAGUUUCAUAUUCACUAUCAUUAUCAUGGCAGCCACUAGUUAGUAUUCAUCUUUAUUUAUCUCUACAUUAUUCUUCCAUAAUAUUGUGUUUGUUAAUAUGUAUAUAUGCACAUAUUUCAUACAAAUUGAAUUCAAUAAUGUAUAUGCAUGUGUGUUUUAUUACAUGAUUGUUUAAAUGUGGGUUUUUAUUAUCAUGUCGAUGAUUAGUUGAUUAUUUAUGAUUAUGAAAUAUUUCAGUUAAUGUGCCUGGGUUCUCAAAGAAACAAGUUAUAGCUACACCAGAUGUUGAUCAUGUACUCUCAGGACUCAAAAGGAGAGUGCUCCCACAGUUUAAUACUUGCCUUAGAUCGUGUACGUCAGACAGCGAUUGCAGUGAUUGUUGGAUUUGUUGUGCUUGUGGGCACAACGCCAUAUAUCACGAUCAAUUGGUGUGUUCAUCGAACUUUUAGUAGUGGCACUGGCAAAUUACUAUUAUGCAUUAGUGUGUCAUUGUGUAAUUUCAGUGUUUGUUUGUCUUUUCUUAUUUACUUGUCUUUUAUGCUUUGAAAAAUAAUAAUAAUAAUAAUAAUUGGAUUUGCUAUGGAAAAAAAAUAUAACGACUAAAGUUGGUCGGUUAAAAAGCUAAGCAUGUUAUUUUCUUCUCCAUUUCCUUUUAUAAGUUGACAGCUCUAGUUUGGCAAUAUUAUAGUCUAUAGAACAUGGAAAUAUUAAGAACACCCUAGUGUACUAAGCUCCCGUUAUGUACGGGAUCGGAAAAAGGGUACGAUCAAAAGGGUCUAUUGUAAGCAGUCUUACCCUGCAUUUUUGCAAGAGCUUAUUUACACGGCUUGAACCUGUGACCUCCUGAUCACAUGAUAGCAACUUUACUAGCUACGCCAAGACUCCUUUCACAUGGAAAUAUUAAGAGCAAUUAUCAAUAUUCUUUUGUC
rnacentral:lncRNA from 1 species